GUCCACGCCAUAAAACGAUGAGAACUAGACGUUGAGAGGGUUAGCCUCCCAGUGUCGCAGCUAACGCGCUAAGUUCUCCGCCUGGGGAGUACGGCCGCAAGGUUGAAACUCAAAAGGAAUUGACGGGGACCCGCACAAGCGGUGGAGCAUGUGGUUUAAUUCGAUGCAACGCGAAGAACCUUACCUGGCCUUGACAUCCAUGGAAUUCUGCAGAGAUGUGGAAGUGCCUUCGGGAACCAUGAGACAGGUGCUGCAUGGCUGUCGU
rnacentral:rRNA from 1 species